GUCAUGUGAUAAAGUCUCAAAUUCGAUAUCGAUAACUCGCUUUGCUAUAUCGCCAUUUUCGAAACUACCCUUUUAGUUUCAUUUCUCUUAACUUCCGUCACUUGCAUACGAAUCAUAAAACUGGGAGAUAGGUGGGUUAUUAUCACAGAAGAUUUUCAUACCGGCUGAAGAGAAGACGCACGAUGGCGAAAGAGAAUUACACACUGCAGGAUAUUAAACAUCAGAGGAUUCUAAUGAAGAGCAGCACUGUGUUCAUUGAGAAGUCUCUGAGCUUCAUUCAGACGUCUGUGCUAAGUGGAAAACUCAGCAGCCAAAGGGCAAAAACCUACACAAAAGAGAUUUUGCACAGCAUAUUCUUCCUUGGACACAUUAACUUUCCAUCCAUCCAUCCAUCUGAUGUUCUGGGUGAAAAGAUUGCAGUAGCCUUCAGACAGAAAUAUCCAGACGUGUUUGAGGGGUACCAAACCAAACUUCCCUUGAGGCCCCCUUACUC